GAUGAACGCUAGCUACAGGCUUAACACAUGCAAGUCGAGGGGUAACGAGAGGAAGGCUUGCUUUCCUUGUCGACGACCGGCGCACGGGUGAGUAACGCGUAUCCAACCUGCCCCCAACUAGGGAAUAACCUUGCGAAAGUAAGACUAAUACCCUAUAAUUUCCUCAGAUGACAUCUGACGAGGAAUAAAGAUUUAUCGGUUGUGGAUGGGGAUGCGUCUGAUUAGCUUGUUGGCGGGGUAACGGCCCACCAAGGCAACGAUCAGUAGGGGUUUUGAGGGGCAGGUCCCCCACAUUGGAACUGAGACGCGGUCCAAACUCCUACGGGAGGCAGCAGUGAGGAAUAUUGGUCAAUGGGCGGAAGCCUGAACCAGCCAAGUAGCGUGCAGGAUGACGGCCCUAUGGGUUGUAAACUGCUUUUAUACAGGAAUAAAGUUAGCCACGUGUGGUUAUUUGUAGGUACUGUAUGAAUAAGGACCGGCUAAUUCCGUGCCAGCCGCCGCGGUAA
rnacentral:rRNA from 1 species